rnacentral:rRNA from 1 species
AUUGAACGCUGGCGGCAUGCCUUACACAUGCAAGUCGAACGGCAGCACAGGAGAGCUUGCUCUCUGGGUGGCGAGUGGCGGACGGGUGAGGAAUACAUCGGAAUCUACUCUGUCGUGGGGGAUAACGUAGGGAAACUUACGCUAAUACCGCAUACGACCUACGGGUGAAAGCAGGGGACCUUCGGGCCUUGCGCGAUUGAAUGAGCCGAUGUCGGAUUAGCUAGUUGGCGGGGUAAAGGCCCACCAAGGCGACGAUCCGUAGCUGGUCUGAGAGGAUGAUCAGCCACACUGGAACUGAGACACGGUCCAGACUCCUACGGGAGGCAGCAGUGGGGAAUAUUGGACAAUGGGCGCAAGCCUGAUCCAGCCAUACCGCGUGGGUGAAGAAGGCCUUCGGGUUGUAAAGCCCUUUUGUUGGGAAAGAAAUCCAGCUGGCUAAUACCCGGUUGGGAUGACGGUACCCAAAGAAUAAGCACCGGCUAACUUCGUGCCAGCCGCCGCGGUAACAC